CUCAGCCUGUCAGUCAGUCACCAGGGCACAGCUGCACACUGUUGAGCCUGCUGCUUGUCUCAGAGGAAGUGUAACGUCAACAGCACCGUGACUGUUUUUAAUAUCAUAUCGCAGCAAACGCUGUCUGCGUGAAGUUUUCAAAAACUGUAACCGUACCUGAAACCACUUUAUCGGCAUCACUCACUGGGAUUUCAACAAAACAGCCGAUGUAGUUUGGGGCCGAUCGCAACUCUGUGUGUGUGUGCGAGUUUGUGUGUUUGUGUCGGAGCACCGCUCUCUGUCAGUUUUCAGUGGACAGAUAAGCUUGCGCUUACGCGCUCACGUGCUCAGGAAAACCAAAAUGUUGCCACACAAAUUUUAGAGGCCAUCCACAAACAUAAAAGAGGCCCUGGCGCUAUCAUUGGUUCAGACAUUCCCUGAAUGAUGGAUCAGAAAUUGGCUAUUUCCAGAGACUCCAGAAUGAAAACCAAGCUCUGAGGGAGGAGAACCACACCCUGAGGGAAAGCAAUGCACGAGCAGCUUCGGAUGACAGCGGCUCACUUCAAGAGCAGGUGAAGCAAGUUGGGACAAUGUUGAAGACGUUUGCUUGCACUUGGCAAUCAGGUGCAGAUCAGACCCUAAUGCUGCGACGUCUUGGAGAGUUUGGCGAUGUUGUGCGUAGCAUGGACAACAAAAUGGAAACUAUGCAGCAACAUUUCAGUGCCAAUGUGUCUGUUGGAGAGCCACUGAUGAGGCGGUCCAGGUUAACGUUACGCGUUACCUGAAAGCAUCUGACCGUGAAGGCGGAAAAAGGCGCCGCACAGCUGAGAGGGACCCACAGCCGACCCCUUAAACCUAGGCUGACUACUGACACCCCCGCAUCACUGACAACUGGAACACUUUCUUUAUCCUGCAGUCAGUAACAUCAAGAAGCCAGAAGUGCCAGACUACACUCACCCAAUCCACACUAUUCUCUGUGGAAAUUAUUUUUUCUUCUUCUUUUUUUUUUUUUUAUUCCCCACGACCCUGCCUUGAGGGCAGCGCCUUGGAUGGAUAUGGGAUGGUGAGGUUGUUUGUCCUUUAUACAGGUGCACGAGGGAUCACUGAAGAUAUGCCCAUUUUGCGCUGCCUCAUUCUGGAGAUCCCGUAGUCAGGCUUGAAAGACUGAUUAUCAUUACUUAGACUGUCCCGCAAUUCUUAGCCCACUACCCCACGCAGACCCCAACCACUCCACACGUUCUGAUUGGCUGUGUUCUCUACAGCCAGAUUUCCUGCUGUUAAUUGUGUUUGUUCCCACUUGUUGUCAUGUGUAAAUUUAAUGUCAAAAUGUAUAUUACCUGGUAUCCUGCACAUUCUUUGAUACCAAAGAUCUCAAUUACUUCCUAUACAAUUUGCUGCUUAUUUCAUUGUUACAGUGCUUAACUAUUCUAUUUACAAAUAUAGCUUGUAAAUCCUAGAUUAUACCUCUAAUACUUGAUAUCUGCUCAUUAUCUGUUCUGGUACCAAAUAUUUUACUUAACGUAACUUUAGUAUUGGCUUAUUUCAUUCAGUCAGUGCUUAACAAUGGUAUUAUAGUUUGUAAAUCCUAUUUCAUACCUGUUACUUGAUAUUGCACAUUAACUAGUACCAAAAUUCUACUUUCAUUCCAUCAGUGUGCUUAACUGUUAUUCUAUUAAAAAUAGCUUGGAAAUCCUAUUUCACCAAAUAUUCUACUUACUCUGUUGUUAACAUUUGCUUUUUUCGUUUUGUCACAGUGCUUAACUUUUAUUCUGUUGUUAAAUAGAACUUGCAAAUCCUUGUGUCACAAGUCAGCAUUGCAGUUAUGUAUGUCUGUUCUACUACUGUUUUUACCUCAGUAUGUAUGUAUGU